GAUGAACGCUGGCGGCGUGCUUAACACAUGCAAGUCGAACGAACUGUUCUAGAGGAAGUUUUCGGAUGGAAUCUAGGAUAGUUAGUGGCGGACGGGUGAGUAACGCGUGGGAAACCUGCCCUAUACAGGGGGAUAGCCUCGGGAAACCGGGAUUAAUACCCCAUGAAACUUGAGUCUCGCAUGAGACAUAAGUCAAAGAUUUAUCGGUAUAGGAUGGUCCCGCGUCUGAUUAGCUAGUUGGUGAGGUAACGGCUCACCAAGGCGACGAUCAGUAGCCGGCCUGAGAGGGUGAACGGCCACACUGGAACUGAGACACGGUCCAGACUCCUACGGGAGGCAGCAGUGGGGAAUAUUGGACAAUGGGGGCAACCCUGAUCCAGCCAUGCCGCGUGAGUGAAGAAGGCCU
rnacentral:rRNA from 1 species